CCUACGGGCGGCAGCAGUGAGGAAUAUUGGUCAAUGGACGCAAGUCUGAACCAGCCAUGCCGCGUGCAGGAAGACGGCUCUAUGAGUUGUAAACUGCUUUUGUACGAGGGUAAACGCAGAUACGCGUAUCUGUCUGCAAGUAUCGUACGAAUAAGGAUCGGCUAACUCCGUGCCAGCAGCCGCGGUAAUACGGAGGAUUCGAGCGUUAUCCGGAUUUAUUGGGUUUAAAGGGUGCGUAGGCGGUCGGAUAAGUUAGAGGUGAAAUCCCGAGGCUCAACUUCGGCAUUGCCUCUGAUACUGUUCGGCUAGAGAGUAGUUGCGGUAGGCGGAAUGUAUGGUGUAGCGGUGAAAUGCUUAGAGAUCAUACAGAACACCGAUUGCGAAGGCAGCUUACCAAGCUACUUCUGACGUUGAGGCACGAAAGCGUGGGGAGCAAACAGGAUUAGAUACCCUUGUAGUC
rnacentral:rRNA from 1 species